UACGUAGGGUGCGAGCGUUGUCCGGAAUUAUUGGGCGUAAAGAGCUCGUAGGCGGUUUGUCGCGUCGACUGUGAAAACCUACAGCUUAACUGUGGGCUUGCAGUCGAUACGGGCAGACUUGAGUUCGGUAGGGGAGACUGGAAUUCCUGGUGUAGCGGUGAAAUGCGCAGAUAUCAGGAGGAACACCGGUGGCGAAGGCAGCUCUCUGGGUCCCUACCGACGCUGGGGUGCGAAAGCAUGGGGAGCGAACAGG
rnacentral:rRNA from 1 species